UAGACAUCUAAAUUAGUUAGUAACUGGAUUUAUUGGGUUGUUGCCCAUGGUGUUAAGAUAUUGCGCUGUACAUUUGUUACUGUGAAGAAAGUGUACUGAUGUUUCCAGAAUGUAUUAUGCAAUGAUUUUUGGAUUGUGAAGUAUUCUCGCGGAUUCACAAAGUUUUCUUACCCGGUGUCAUAAAUAUUAUCGAAAACCGUCUUCCAUCUUUCAUUUCCGUCUAUUGUGAUGUUUGUGUAGUGCUGAGCAUUUCAUGUUAUGCUAUCAAUUCUUCGAAUUACAAUUUAAUUACAAAUUUUC